GGCCAGACUCCUACGGGAGGCAGCAGUGAGGAAUAUUGGUCAAUGGGCGGGAGCCUGAACCAGCCAAGUCGCGUGAAGGAAGAAGGUACUUAGUAUUGUAAACUUCUUUUGUCGGGGAACAAAGGCGGAGACGCGUCUCCGGACGAGUGUACCCGAAGAAAAAGCAUCGGCUAACUCCGUGCCAGCAGCCGCGGUAAUACGGAGGAUGCGAGCGUUAUCCGGAUUUAUUGGGUUUAAAGGGUGCGUAGGCGGACAGUCAAGUCAGCGGUAAAAAUGCGGUGCUCAACGCCGUACAGCCGUUGAAACUGGCAGUCUUGAGUGGGCGAGAAGUAUGCGGAAUGCGUGGUGUAGCGGUGAAAUGCAUAGAUAUCACGCAGAACUCCGAUUGCGAAGGCAGCAUACCGGCGCCCUACUGACGCUGAGGCACGAAAGCGUGGGUAUCGAACAGGAUUAGAUACCCUUGUAC
rnacentral:rRNA from 1 species